rnacentral:misc_RNA from 1 species
GAUGAAGAACGCAGCGAAAUGCGAUAAGUAAUGUGAAUUGCAGAAUUCAGUGAAUCAUCGAAUCUUUGAACGCACAUUGCGCCCGCCAGUAUUCUGGCGGGCAUGCCUGUUCGAGCGUCAUUUCAACCAUCAAGCCCCAGGCUUGUGUUGGGGACCUGCGGCUGCCGCAGGCCCUGAAAACCAGUGGCGGGCUCGCUGUCACACCGGGCGUAGUAGAUUUUAUCUCGCUUAGGGCGUGCUGCGGGUUCCGGCCGUUAAAAAGCCUUUUUUACCCAAGGUUGACCUCGGAUCAGGUAGGAAUACCCGCUGAACUUAAGCAUAUCAAUAAGCGGAGGA